UACGUAGGGAGCAAGCGUUGUCCGGAAUGACUGGGCGUAAAGGGUGUGUAGGUGGUUUGGCAAGUUAGAAGUGUAAUACCUGGGCUUAACUUAGGUGCUGCUUUUAAAACUGCUAGACUUGAGUGCAGCAGAGGUUAAUGGAAUUCCUAGUGUAGCGGUGGAAUGCGUAGAUAUUAGGAGGAACACCAGAGGCGAAGGCGGUUAACUGGGCUGUAACUGACACUGAGACACGAAAGUGUGGGGAGCAAACAGG
rnacentral:rRNA from 1 species